AAGGUUCAAAUGGUAAAUAUCAUCAAAUCAAACCCUACCCUAGGUGGACACUCUGAAGAAAGUCCGAGUGAUGGACACUAAGGAGCAGCCAUCCUGUAUUAAAAUCGACGCUUGGCGUUCUUCACGAUGAAAUCGAAGCAGCAAUAAAAAACGAACCGUUGGGAUCUAAAUUAGCUACUUCAGUAUUUCAUUUCAGCCGCUGUCGAUUGGUUCUCUUCAUUUUCUCUUCCGAUAUUGAGAUCGAGAAAUCUAUCGACUCUUAUCCUCAGCUCUGAUGAUGUUGGUGGAUGGAUUAACCGAUACUGGGAAGAUCCAUCUUUGGCGGUGACAACAGGAACUCUCUGUUUCUUCUUUAUCUAACCAGGUGAUCGUAGGGUUUUGAAUACGCAGUCGGAGGGGAGUGAUGGAAAAUGGGGUUGCAAUCGAUGUUGAACCUCAUUUUGUAGAUAUCGUGGCAGUCGAAGAUGGGACUUCUCAUCCUAAAGUAGAAGAUAAGGGUGUUCAUGGGUUUCAUGUGUCGAAGGAUUCUGAAGGGGAUAUUUUUGUGGAGGCUUCAGAAGAAAUUCAUACGCAGGAGUCGUCUGUAAAGCUUGAUGCAGAGCAAGUUAUUAAUGGGGAGGUACCUGUAGACAAGACAGGAGAUUCUGUUUCAUUGGGAGUUAAUGGAAUGUCUAACGUUGACCAUGGGACUGAAAAAUUUGAAGAGGCGAUCAAGCGUCCGGGCAAUGAACUUAACGAAACUGUUUAUGGGGUUGGAGGUGCAGAUGAACCUGCCAAUGUGGAAGAUAAGGCUGAGGAGCUUGUCCCAGUGGAAUCAAAUGGGUUGGAUGAUGCUGGUUCAGUUGGUACUGCAGAAACUGUUGUCAAUCUUGGUGAUGAUCGAGGCAAUGAACCUAAUGAAACUUUUUACGAGGUUGGAGUUGCAGAUGGACCUGCCAAUGUAAAAGAUAAGGCCGAGGAAGUUGUGCCAGUGGAAUCAAAUGGGUUGGAUGAUGCUAGUUCAGUUGGUAUUGCAGAAGCUGUUGUCAAUCUUGGUAAUGAUUACACUCAGGAACGGGAACAGCAGGUCACUGUUGAGAAGAUGACCGAAGAUUCGGUUUCCACGAAGCCGGUUGAUGAUAUUAGGCUUGCAGAUGAAACUGGCAAUGUGGAAUGUAAUGGCACCGAAGUUGUGCUGGUGCAAUCAAAUGGGUUUGAUGGUGGUGCUUUGGUUGGCAAUUCAGAAGUUGAGUUGAGGGAGUUUUCAGACAUUGUGUCUGAUAGAGAUAUAGAGCCUUCGAUGAAUAGUGCACUGGCAGAGGGGAGGAGUGAUGCAGUUCCUGAAAAAUCAGAAAAUGGGGAUUUGGUUAAGAAUAAUUUGGGGGAAUCACCAUUUCAUGAUAAAGCAGAUGUGCAUGCUGAACUGGUAAAGUCUGAUGUGAUUGAGCCUUCUCAAGAAAAUGAAUGUGAUGAACUAAUUGUCCAUGAAGACAGUGAGAGUCUUGAGUUAAAGGAACCUUUGCCAAACCUGGAUGGGGAACACCAAGAUCACCAGAGCGUGCAAUUGCAGAAUUCUUCAUCUGAAAAAGAUCAUUCCCUCAAGGAAUCUGAUGUGAUUGAGCCUUCUCAAGGAAAUGAACCUGAUGAACUGAUUGUCCACCAAGCCAGUGAGAAUGCGGAGUUAAAGGGACAUUCGGCAAACCUGGAUGGGGAACACCAAGAUCACCAGAGCGUGCAAUUGAAGAAUUCUUCAUCUGAGAAAGAUUGUUCCGUCAAUGAAUCUGAUGUGAUCGAGCCUUCUCAAGGAAAUGAACCUGAUGAACUGAUUGUCCAUCAAGCUAGUGAGAGUGCGGAGUUAAAGGGACCUUCGGCAAACCUGGAUGGGGAACACCAACAUCACCAGAGCGUGCAAUUGAAGAAUUCUUCAUCUGAGAAAGAUUGUUUUGUCAAUGAAUCUGAUGUGAUCGAGCCUUCUCAAGGAAAUGAACCUGAUGAACUGAUUGUCCAUCAAGCUAGUGAGAGUGCGGAGUUAAAGGGACCUUCGGCAAACCUGGAUGGGGAACACCAACAUCACCAGAGCGUGCAAUUGAAGAAUUCUUCAUCUGAGAAAGAUUGUUUUGUCAAUGAAUCUGAUGUGAUCGAGCCUUCUCAAGGAAAUGAACCUGAUGAACUGAUUGUCCAUCAAGCUAGUGAGAGUGCGGAGUUAAAGGGACCUUCGGCAAACCUGGAUGGGGAACACCAAGUUCACCUGAGCUUGCAAUUGAAGAAUUCUUCAUAUGAAAAAGAUCGUUCCCUCAAGGAAUCUGAUGUGAUUGAGCCUUCUCAAGGAAAUGAACAUCAUGAACCGAUUGUCCAUCAAACCACUGAGAAUAUGGCGUUAAAUGGAACUUUGGCAAACCUGGAUGGGGAACACCAAGAUCACAAGAGCAUGCAAUUGAAGAAUUCUUCAUCUGAACAUGGUCCUUCCCUUAAGGAGUCUGAUGUGAUUGAGCCCUCUCAAGGAAAUGAACCUAUUGAACUGAUUGUCCAUCAAUACAGUGAGAAUGCUAAGUUAAAAGAACCUUCAGAAAACCUGGAUGGGGAGCUCCAAGAUCACCAGAAUGUGCCACUGAAGAAUUCUUCAGCUGAACAAGAUCCUUCCCUCAAGGAGGCUGGGACUCCAGAAGUUGAAUUCCCACUGUCUGCAGAAGAAUCUGAUACAGUUAAAGAUGAUGCAGCUGAACCACAGGCUAAAGAUACACAAGAUUCACGGCCUAUGCUUGCUGACAGAAAUGGCAGAGAAGGUUCAUCUAGCCAUGUCAAGGUGGGGGAGCCUGAUGUGCAGGAAACACAAAAAGUGAAGGAUAGAGGAUCAACAAUUCAGUCUGCACAAAAUGUUUUUUCAUCAUCUGAAAAUUCCACAAAUCCUCCUCUUGCUCUUCCAUCUCGUCCUGCUGGUCUUGGGAGUGCUCCACCUCUGGGAGCUGCUCAUCGUGCACUGCAACAGCCUCGAGCAAAUGGAUCUAUACCUCAGCGGCCAACUCAACUUGUUGAAGACCCUAUGAAUGGUGAGGCUGAGGAGAAUGAUGAUGAAGCCCGUGAAAAGCUCCAGAUGAUCCGAGUAAAGUUCCUGCGUCUUGCCCACAGGCUUGGUCAGACUCCCCAUAAUGUUGUUGUUGCUCAGGUCCUGUACAGGCUAGGGUUAGCAGAACAGCUGCAAGGGGGAAACACAACUCGUGCUGGUGCCUUUAGCUUUGAUAGGGCAAGUGCAAUGGCAGAGCAGCUUGAGGCAGCUGGGCAGGAACCCCUUGAUUUUUCUUGCACAAUCAUGGUUAUAGGGAAGACAGGAGUUGGUAAAAGUGCAACCAUCAAUUCAAUAUUUGAUGAAGUCAAGUUCAGCACUGAUGCAUUCAACGUGGGCACUAAGAAGGUUCAGGAUGUGGUGGGAACCGUUCAGGGGAUCAAGGUACGGGUGAUUGAUACACCUGGCCUCCUACCUUCCAUGUCAGAUCAACGUCAUAACGAGAAGAUCCUUCAUUCUGUUAAGCGUUUCAUCAAAAAAACACCUCCAGAUAUUAUUUUGUAUCUUGAUAGACUAGACAUGCAAAGCAGAGAUUUUGGUGAUAUGCCAUUGCUGCGAACAAUUACAGAGAUAUUCGGACCAUCUAUUUGGUUCAAUGCGAUUGUAGUUCUGACUCAUGCAGCUUCUGCACCUCCUGAGGGUCCAAAUGGCACUGCUUCCAGUUAUGAGAUGUUUGUAACUCAGCGGUCCCAUGUGGUUCAGCAAGCCAUUCGUCAAGCAGCAGGGGACAUGCGACUCAUGAACCCUGUUUCACUAGUGGAGAAUCACUCUGCAUGCAGAACAAACAGGGCCGGGCAGAGAGUCUUGCCAAAUGGCCAAGUCUGGAAGCCUCAUUUGUUAUUGCUCUCCUUUGCAUCAAAGAUUCUGGCCGAGGCAAACACUCUUCUGAAGCUGCAAGAUGGUCCACCAGGAAAACCUUUUGCGACUCGAUCUAGGGCACCUCCUUUACCAUUUCUCUUGUCCUCUCUUCUCCAAUCAAGGCCUCAGUUGAAACUGCCUGAGGAACAGUUUGGCAGUGAUGACGACGCUUUUGAUGAGGACUUGGACGAGGCAUCAGAUUCAGAUGAAGACUCAGAAUAUGAUGAAUUGCCUCCAUUCAAGCGUUUGACCAAGGCUCAACUGGCAAAGUUGAGUAAGGCACAGAAGAAGGCUUAUUUUGAUGAGCUAGAAUAUAGAGAGAAGCUUUUUAUGAAGAAGCAGCUGAAGGACGAGAGAAAGCGGCGUAAAUUAUUGAAAAAAAUGACAGAUUUGGCCAAGGAUUUGCCAAGUGAGUACAGUGAGAGUGCUGAAGAAGAGAGUGGUGGAGCUGCAUCUGUGCCAGUUCCAAUGCCUGAUUUGUCCCUGCCGGCUUCAUUUGAUUCUGACAAUCCCACUCACAGAUACCGCUUUCUGGAUUCUUCAAACCAAUGGCUAGUAAGGCCAGUUCUAGAUACUCAUGGCUGGGAUCAUGAUGUUGGCUAUGAGGGUAUAAAUGUUGAGAGAUUAUUUGUGAUUAAAGAGAAAAUACCCUUGUCCUUUUCUGGUCAGGUUACGAAGGAUAAGAAAGAGGCCAAUGUCCAGAUGGAAUUAGCUGGUUCUGUUAAGCAUGGGGAAGGGAAAGCAACUUCAUUAGGUUUUGACAUGCAGACUGUUGGGAAGGACAUGGCAUAUACCUUACGCAGUGAGACAAGAUUUAGCGACUUCAGGCACAAUAAGAUGGCAGCCGGUCUCUCAGUUACUCACCUGGGUGAUGCCGUAUCUGCAGGAGUGAAGGUUGAAGACAAAUUGAUUGUUAAUAAACGGUUCCGGAUGGUUUUGACUGGGGGUGCAAUGACUGGUCGUGGUGAUGUGGCAUAUGGAGGCAGUUUGGAGGCAACCUUGAGAGAUAAGGACUAUCCUUUGGGUCGUACAUUAACAACUCUUGGUCUAUCUAUUAUGGACUGGCAUGGAGAUCUUGCAAUUGGCUGCAAUGUACAGUCUCAACUACCACUGGGGCGUUCUUCAAAUGUGAUUGCUCGGGCAAAUUUGAAUAACAGGGGAGCUGGGCAAGUUAGUAUUCGUUUGAAUAGUUCAGAACAGCUUCAGAUAGCUCUGAUUGGUCUUAUACCCCUAUUCAGAAAGCUAGUUGGUUAUUCUCAACAACUGCCUUUUGGUCAAUGAGGAGUAUCUUGUUAUAUGAUCAGCAGCUGUGCGGUAAUUAGGAAAUAACCUUCAAAGGGUCCAUAUGAUUUUGGUUGCUAAAAUGGGUAAGGCUGCUCCAUUAUGACCAAGUGGUCAUGAGUUUGAAUCAAGAAACAGCCUCUUCGCGAAGCGUUUGUAAGGCUGCAUACAUUAUGACCCUCCCUAGUCCCCGCAGUGGCAGGAACCUCAUGCACUGGGUAUGCCCUUGUUUUUUUAAUUGACAUCUUGAAUAGCUGCUACACAAAUAGUCUUCAAUAUAGGGACUUUAGUUACCAUCUCAUAUUUGUGUCCUUAUAUUUAUAGGAAAAUGUAUUUUUGACAAUAUAUAUACCAGUUUGAUGAUAUUUUUAGUUAAUUUGAUGUGACUAAUGAAUUAUCUGGGGCCAAGCUGAGGAGGAGUUUAAGGUAGAAGUGGAGUUUACUGUUGGAGUUAGACACCUAGAAUCUAGUUGGAUUGCUCGGGUAUUGUGUGGAGGCUUACAUGUAUGAAAGCUUCAAAUUAUAUUCUGAGCGCAGUUAUCACUUAUCUGAAAUCAAAUAUGGUAAUUUUAUGCUGAUUUUAGAGAAUAAGCUGGGGCUCUGUAUCUGAUUUCCUCUUCAAUGAACUCUUCUAAUGGUUUCACUAUUGAUUCUUUAUCGUUAGGUGUCUGCUGAUGUAGAAAAAGGGAAAAAACAGUAAGAAGAAAAAGAUGAGUUUGGGGGAAUUGUGAAAGAUAUUCCUGAGAAAUUUACGGAACUGCUUAAAUAACCCUGUUUUUAAUGAUCUUGACGGUUGAAGCAGGUUGGUAAUAGUCACGGUUUGGCUAACUUACCACUGAUUCACUUUAGGUUGGGAUGCUAUGAUUUCACUUUGUAUUGUCUGGUGAUGUUUAGUUCAAAAGCAUGGAUUGACCAAGAGAAAAAGAGGCAUUUUCGUAUUGUAUGUGAGAAUGGAACUAGGGAAAGGAAUUGAUUGGGAAGUGCAAAACAGAGCAGAUAAGAAGUAGAGUGAAGGGAAAGGAAUUGAUUGGGAAGUGCAAAACAGAACAGAUAAGAAGUAAAGUGAAGGGAAAGGGAGACGGGGACUUUUUUUUUUUGGGGUGGGGUGAGAGUAGAGUAGCGCAAUGUGCUGUGGGUGGGAACGGGUGUGACAAAUAUGGAGUAGCCGAUUCUUAUCUUCAGUGGGGACUGGAGGUGGAAUCACACCACAUGGAACAAGCUCCAUGCAUCUUUCAAGCAGAAGAGAUGAAGCUGAACUGAAAGUAGUUCCUUAUUUUCUCUCUGCUACAUGUUUUUUUAUUUUUCCAAAUAACUAAGCCGAGCAGGAAUUCUGUUGCAGCACUUGGAUCUGUUUCUAUAAAAACGGAGUCCCACUGAACUUUUGUUUGUCAUGUUGGCCUUUUCACUUCUGCAUGAACAUGUUGUUUAUUUGAUGUUCUAUCUUCUAUGUAGCAUCAUUCAGUCUAAACUUUCAUGUUCUAUGUUGUAUUUGAUGGUGAAUCUCUAAUCUAGAGAAUAUAGAUCAGUGUGUUGGGCCCAUCUCUUGCAAAUGUAUUCAUGGGGAUGAAAGUUCUUGACAGGAUAGAAUUGUGAGAUGUUGCACUUUUUUUUCUCCACAUAUUUGGAUAACAUUCUCAGUUAUGUAAUCCUUUCAAUUUUGGUAUAGAUGUGUUUCAGUUUCUU